GAUGAACGCUGGCGGCGUGCCUAAUACAUGCAAGUCGAGCGAACAGACGAGGAGCUUGCUCCUCUGACGUUAGCGGCGGACGGGUGAGUAACACGUGGAUAACCUACCUAUAAGACUGGGAUAACUUCGGGAAACCGGAGCUAAUACCGGAUAAUAUAUUGAACCGCAUGGUUCAAUAGUGAAAGACGGUGUUUCUGUCACUUAUAGAUGGAUCCGCGCCGCAUUAGCUAGUUGGUAAGGUAACGGCUUACCAAGGCAACGAGGCGUAGCCGACCUGAGAGGGUGAUCGGCCACCCUGGAACUGAGACACGGUCCAGACUCCUACGGGAGGCAGCAGUAGGGAAUCUUACGCAAUGGGCGAAAGCCUGACGGAGCAACGCCGCGUGAGUGAUGAAGGUCUUCGGAUCGUAAAACUCUGUUAUUAGGGAAGAACAAAUGUGUAAGUAACUAUGCACGUCUUGACGGUACCUAAUCAGAAAGCCACGGCUAACUACGUG
rnacentral:rRNA from 1 species